UAUUUCUGUGGAAUAAAAACUUUUUCUUGUGUUUGCAGAUGGAGGGAGCGGAAAAAUCUUUAUGACAAAUUACAUCUCAGAAUGUCUGCCAUUGAAAACUACCAAGGAUGGACUCGGAUGGCAAUUACAGGAGACGAAAUAUGCAUGCAAAGAGCACUGUGAUGUGAUUUGAACAGGCCAAGAUGUCUCAAGUUUUACAACCAUAUUGAAGUUUUGUGUGACAGAUUUUCCACAGACAAAAUAAGAGCAUUGUUGUGAAGUGGUGAUCUGCCAAAGAUGUUACAGCAGUGGUGUGUGACAAAACUUCCAACGGCAGAAUUAUAUUAUGAAAAGAUAAUCAGGCUGCCAAACAGACAAGAUGCUAUAGCUCACAGUAUUGUCUGCAUUUUGAUGACAAAACAGUGAUGUGUGCUUUUUUUUUUUGAAGAAGCAAAGAGAUAGACUCUGUUGUAUUUCAUAUUUGCAUGUAUUGUUUUGUAUGAUGAAGUUUGCCCGUACAAGAGGCGAUGCCCGUAAAAGAGGCAUACUAUUG
rnacentral:lncRNA from 1 species